GAAAAACUAGGUAGAGAUAACUGAUCCGGAGUUAGCAAUCUGGGGGGUUGUUGUGGAAAGACACCUGAUGAGGAAUCUACAACUGGGGAUAAAGGAUAUAAAGGUGAAGCAUUAGAACCUAUUCUAGAAAAGAUUGGGGCACCAGAGUUACCCACAGUUUGACUAGAUUGGGGAAAUGCAGGAGUAUAUGCAUAAGAAGACAUGGAAGAGGUUACAGAUAAUAAGGGAGAUCCAAUGUUAGUAGUGGGAGCCAUAGGAAGUUGCUGUGGUGCAAGACCUUGUCUGCUAGUUAAAGAUAAAGAAUUUGCAGUGGUAACCACAGGCACUGGAGCUACGCUUUUUGGUAGAAUAGCUGAAGUGAAAUGUUCAGGGCCUUGGAGUGGGUAAGCCUGCUUCAAAUCCUGCAUCAUCACAU
rnacentral:misc_RNA from 1 species